GAAGGGGUGGCCGAGUGGUCCAAGGCGCCGCAUCAAAUCUGAUUCUGUUUGAUUCCUCUUGGAAUUAAAAAACUGCGGUCUGUUCCAAGAACAGUCGUGGGUUCAAAUCCCUCCCUCUUCU
rnacentral:tRNA from 1 species